AAAAAUUCAGCUAUUAAUAAAACAAAGGCUUCACAAGGGUUCUAUCAAAAAGUACAAAUUUUAAAUAAAUGCGUCAGAAAACUGGUAACCAGAUACACCAACCAGUCACAACCUUGAGGGAAGGGAGGAGGUGCCCAGAACCCCAAGAAGAGGCUAGGUGCAGGGGUCUUUGGAUGCCUGUGGGCCGGGUCCUGGAGCUACCAGGCAAGGGCCCUGACAGUUUUCCUGUCCUUGGAAAAAUGGGUCUUUACUUGUCCAGUGUAGGAAAUUCUCAGUCUGAAGCAGAAAGGCACAGAAGUCAUUGAUAAGGCACUUGUGACUCCAGCCCUUAGGCACACAGAGUGGAUGAAUGGGCAGUCAGAACCAUAGGGCUCCCGGCUCUGGCUGUGCUCCUGAUUGGUGCCACCUCUGGGUUUGGCCCCAGCUUAAAUUAAGGUGGACCACGUGGACGGCAUAAUCCCUGCAGCCAGGGGCCUGGAGUCGGUCUUUAGAACAGAUGUGUUUGUUGCUUCACUGGCAAACUGGUGUCUGGCCCCGCCAGGGCAAGAAGGAUCACACUGGCCCCCAAGGAAUCCCCUCAGUGGGGACACCAGGCCUCCUGUCCAAUCCUGUUCACUGAGCCACUGUGGGCACCCACCUUAGACGAGGAACUCCCUGGCAUCUAGGCAUCUGGAGAAGCCCCAGACCCCAGAGCCAAGGUUUCUCUGGAUGGCAGGCAGCGGCCCAAGAAGCUGGCAUUGUCGAAAUCAGUCUCCAACAGCUGCUGGCCCAUACCCAUGGUCAUUGGUGGCAGGCCUCCCUGGUGACAUUAGGCAGUGGGUAAGCGAAGAGGGAGAAGUCCAGGAUGUACUUAGGUAGCACGUCCUGCAGCAGGGCCCGGGGAGCACUGCACAGGUGGUAGUGCAGGCUUUCAGGGCUGGCCGGCCGGUACCAGGACUGGCGAGCUGGGAAUCGCACAUGGGGCGGUGCCUGCACCCACUCCAGCACCUGGUUGGCAUCAGCCUCCAGCCUCUCAUAGGAGCCUACAAAGUCAUAGCGCACCGCACAAGGCUGGCACAGGUGGUACACGGGCAUCCAAUGCUCAUUCAUGCGCUCAGGGUCCUCGUCCACCAGGUAUCUCAGAAACUCCUGGAAGGUGACAUCAUCCCCUGCGGGGCUGGGGCCCGCUCCAGCCCUGUACCGCCGCACGAUCUCAGCGCCAUAGCGCUGUUGGUACUCUCGGAUCUCGCCAAACUUGUUGCGGUAAGCAGAGAGGAGGCGCUCCAAGGGGUCCCGCACAAACAGGAACUUGAAGUAGUGCUGCAGGCGGUAGCGAAUCUCCUCAGGCCGCAGGUCUGCUAGGAACACCAGAUCAUUGCGGUGGUCCAUCUUGAGGCGGACGUCCACGCUGUCCAGGACGCCGGCCAGCACCUUCAGCACCCGCUUCCAGUUAGAGCAAGCCACCUUGGGGACGUAGCAGUACAGGAAGCGGUAGCGGUCACUCACGAGGAUGUGGCGUAGCAGGGUCCGAUUCCGGACGUCCUGCCUCACCUGCAAGUCCGAGUCCCCAGCAUCCAGGGACAGCCUCCCAGGCCUGAGGACUGUCCCGCGCCAGGCCACACCCUCGCGAUUUGGAGGGUGCAGGGGAAGGGGCUUCAUCUCGGCCAGGAUGCCCCGCUCGAUCAUGAGCAGCAGCCCGCUGGAGGCCACGAUCACCGCGAACAUCAGCAUGGACGGCAGCAGCAGGGGCGGCCCCCCCAGCCCCGCCCGGGCCCUGCCCAGUGGGGGCCGCCUCAGCGCCCGGCCCAGGGGCUCGGCGCCAUUUGGGGCUGCCAGCGGGGUCAGCGGGCGGGGGAACAUGGUGCUCCCGGGGUGGGGGCCUGCGCGGGCAGCCCGAUCCGAGGGCCGCCCGGGAGGCGGGCUCGGGCUGGGGGCGGGAGCCGAGGGUUGGACCCGCAGCGCCGGGCGGGGGUCGAAGAGGGGAGCGCGGGCGGGAGGGUUGGCGCGCGCGGGGGUGGCCGGCUCCCGGGCUGCGGCGCCGGAGCGGGCGGCGGGCGGGCGGCGGGCGGCGCGGCGAGGGACCAGGGCCGGAUGUCCCGCCCGGCAGCUCUCCGCCCCCAGGCCCGCCGUGACACAGGCGCGGGGGCGGGCCCAGGCCGGGGGCGGGGAGAGGGGCGGGCGUCCCCGCAGGGAGCGGGCUACCAGGGAGCGUGCAGACCCCUACCCGGGAGAGGGCGCCUGAACCAGGGCCGCCCUAGUCCUCCGGGCUUCGGGGACAAAAGCUCGCAAGGCUCUGAAGGCAGAAAAGACCCGGGCCGCGGCGCCCUCUCUUGCGCAGCGCGUGCCCUCAGGGAGCUGGAUGGAGAGGGCCUGCGCCCAACACCCUGCCGCUCGCUCCGGCCUGGCCGAGCCCUUCCUCCCGCGGCGGGGGCCCCCAGCAGAGCUCUCUGCGAGUCCAAACUUUGGAGAGGCCCGUCUCUCUCGCUGGAAGCAGAGUCCCC
rnacentral:lncRNA from 1 species